CAGAACCAGAACAACUCUCAGGCAGGCAGGCAGCCGAUGGGUGGUUAGUCAUAAAGACUCCAAGGACCUAGUUCCCAGAAUCAGCUCCAAAACAAGACCCCCCCCCCCCCAAGCACGGAGCUUUCUGCCUCAAUCCCAAGGCUCGGCAACUCUCAAGGCUCCUUCUCCAGGGGCUGGGUAGGGCAGGGCCCCAGUCCUGCAGAGCACACCCAGGUCUUGAGCUGAGCGCUUUCACUGACUACCUGUGAUUUCAGCAAACCGAGGGUAGGUGGUACGGGGAGGGAGGAGGCAGGCUGAGGGAGAACAAGCGGUUCCUGAAAAAGACAGAACAAUCUUUCGGGGUGGGCCGGGAGACGGGGUCUGAGAGGACAUAUUACCGCCGUGGAGGUUAGUGCAUCAGCAGGAAGUCACACUAACUUCAUUUCAAAGGAUAACAAGCUGGAAAGUUUGAUUUGCUUUUAAUUCCCUGUCUCCUAGGGCCUCACAUAAAGAGACUGGAAAUUCCUUGAACUCCAGAACCAGGCUCAGUAGUUACCUCGAGAAAGAAGAGUUCUUAGGUCUAAGUCCUUUCAAAUUCAUAUCCUUUCUUCUAUGAACAAAUUCUGAUUUUCUUGAGAAAACAAAGAAAAUUUCCCUUUCCCUUCGGAUUUCAUCUAUAACAUUUCAAGCUGUAUAUUUAAAGGACCACUGAGACACUGCUUUGAAGAUAUGGAGGCUAGGGAUAGAGCGCUGCGGCACAGCACCUGCCUGACCUGAAGAUGAAACUGAGGGCCUCUUGCAUGCUAGUCAAGCACUGUACCACUGAGCUGCAUCCAGCUCCUCACCUCCACUCUUGCUUCCAUAAUGUGAAUGCUAGUAGGCAUCAAUUCUAUUAAUGUAGUCUAGUAUCUAAACAUAACAUGCUCAAAAAGAAAAUAACAUGCUCAAGAAAGAAUAUAAUUUUUACCUCUUUGCAAGUAUUUUAGUCAUGGGAAGUAAAUUUUGAAUGAGUACUUAAAGAAAUACUGCCACCCUCUGGGUAGAAAAGGUCAUGUUUCUUUUAGGAAGUACCAGAAGCAAAUACCAGACAGCAUUCAUAGGUGACAGAUAAGUUUGUAGUUUAGUUGCUGAGUGUGAUGGCACGACUGUAGUUCCAGCACUGAGGAGGCUGAAGCAGGAGGAUCACCACAAGUUUAAUGAUAGCAUAGGCCACAUGGUGAGUUCAAGCCCAGCCUGAGCUACCUACCAAGACCCAUCCCCUCUGCUAAAAAAACCAAUUUUGGCUUCAAACCCAGAUCUAUCGCUUGCUGCAUUAAACUAAAAAACUCAACCUUCAGAAGCAUCAGGUUUUUUUAAAAAUGCUGUGGCUGCUUAUUUCUCAGGAAUUGUAAGAACAAUCAAAUCACUAUAAAGUUAGUUUGUUGUUUAUGGAUUUUUUUUUUUUUUUUGUCUUUUUUGGUACCAGGGAUCAAACUCACAACUGCCUGCUUGCAAGGCAGGCGUUUAUGCCGCUGAGCCAAAUCCCCAGCCCCUGUGGAAUAUUUUUACAAGUAUGGUUUAUAUUUUUUCCAAAAUAUAGUAUGUUGGAGUAAAAAAAUUAAUUUCAGCUGGGUGCAGUAGCAUAUGCCUGUAACCCCAGCAUUUGGGAGGCUAAUGUAGAACGAUCUCCACGGGUGUUUAAGGCCAGCCUGAACUACAUACUGAGAUCCUGUCUCUAAAAAACAUUUUUUUUUCUGGUGUCAGGGAUCAAACUCACCACCAUGUGCUUCCAAGGCAGGUGCUUAUGCCGCUGAGCUAAAUUCCCAGCCCCAAAACUUGUUUUUAAAUACUUAAACUGUUGUGUGUGUCUGUUGGGAGCACUCAGGAGACUGAGGCAGAGGGGUUCCUUGAGGCAUGGAGUCUUGGAGUCUAAAGAAAGGGCAGUAUAUAGAGAGCCUGUCUCUCAAUAAAAGGAAGAAAAGAAGGAAGAAAUUUAAGUGGAUAGUAACAAUGGGAAGGAAAUGAAUUCUAGACCUAUGUUAAAGAUAAGGAAGCAGGAGAAAUACAAGAUUACAUGUGAGCUUCUGGCUGAACAGAUUUUGAUGUCAUUCAUUGAAAUAGGAAGUACAAAUUAAGAAAUGUGUCCAGAGAGCCGGGGGUUUAGCUCAGCAGCAUAAGCGCCUGCCUUGCAAGCACAUGGACUGGAAGCUCUGAAAGUAUGAGCCCAAAUAAACCUUGCUAAUUGAUACAAACUUUAUAAAUACAAUUUUAAAAAUGAAAUAACACUAAAUGCCAUGUUGCCUGUUAAAAUGGCAAACAUUUAAAAAACGUGAUAACUAGUUGAGGUGAAGGAGAAAAAAACAGGUACAUUAUUGGUGAUACUGUUAAGGCAGAGUGACUAUUAUGGGAGACAAAGGCAAUUGGCAAGACAUCAAAUUACAAAUGUAUAUACUCUGACCCAUCAACUAGAUUUUGAAGAAUUUAUCCUGCAGUUUUUUCCCCAAAUCCAUUUUAUUUCAAGGAAAAUAAGGAAAAAAAUUCCAAACACAUCAAUCAGGGGGCAUCAAUGGUAUAUACACUGUGCACUGUCAUCCCCAAAUCAUUCACCCAGAACACAAGACAUCUGCAUUCAAUUGUCCGAAUAAUACCAGCACAAAUCUUUCUCUGCAGUGAACUCAGAGAAAUCAGUACUAUAACUAUUUUUACUAUUUUUAUAUACAUAUACAUAUAUGUAUACAUAUGUUGUUUCAGCAUCUUACACUGAGACAAUAUUGUUUACACGUGUGUCUUAUUUCACUAAUGUGUAUGGACUGAAGUUACAACCAUUUACCUAUAAAAGUCUAGUUUAUCCUUCUUUAUGGCUGAAUAAUUUCCCAUUGUACAAAUAUACCUCAUGUUUUUUAUCCAUUUCUCGUCAGUUGGCAUUUAGGCUGUUUCCAAGAUCUGGCUAUUACAAAUUGUGCUGCUGUUAAACAUAGGUUCACAUAUAUCGCUGUGGUAUGAUUAUAAUUCUUUUGGGAAGAUAUCCAGAAGAGAAAUAGCUAGGUCAAACAGGAACUCCAGUCCUAGUUUUUUGAGGAAUCUCCACACUGAUUUCGGCAGUGGUUGUACCAGUCUGCAUUCUCAACCAACAGUGUAAAAGAGUCCCUUUUCCCCACAGCCCCUACAGCAUUUGUUAUUGCUUGAUUUCUUGAUAAUAGCCCUUCUUUCAGGGGUAAAGUAGAAUCUCAAUGUUGUUUUAAUUUGCAUCUCUCAAAUGACUAUCCUGCAGUUGUUUGUUUUGUUUUGCUGGUGGUUUUUUGAGAUAGAGUCUCACUAUGUAGCCCAGGCUGGCCUUGAACUCAUAGUGAUCCUCCUGCCUCAGCCUCCUGAGAGCUAGAGUUAUAUACUAUAGUUUUAUUUAGAUUUGAGUUUCCCUAAUCUUAAAAUCCAAAAUCUGAGAUGAUUUCAAAAUCUUAAAUACUGGACAACCCAUUUGGGAUCCUUUCUGUCUCUCUCAGACAGAAGCUUUCUUUCUCUCAAUAAAUAUAUUCUCUUGGGGCUGGGGAUUUAGCUCAGUGGCAUAAGCACCUGCCUUGCAAGCAGGCGGUUGGUUGUGAGUUCGAUCCCCAGUACCGAUUUUAUAUAUAUAUAUAUAUAUAUAUAUAUAUAUAUAUAUAUAUAUAUAUAUAUUUGAGUGCCAACAUAAUAUACUAGUAGAAAAUUUCACACAUCACCUACUGUGAUAGGUUGUAGUCAAAAUGUACCACACAAAAUAUUGCAUAAAGUUAUCUUCAGGUAUGUAUGUAAGGCAUAUUUGAAACAAAUAAAUUUGUGUUUGGUCUUGGGUUCCAGCCUUAAGAUACCUCAUUAUGUGUCAGGGAUGUUGGUGAAUGUUUAUAAGCCCAGUGUCCUGGGAGGUUGAGGCAGAAGAAUAAAUUCUACUCUAGCCUAAGCAAUUCAGCAACUGAAUGAGACCCUGCCUCAAAAUUAAAAAAAAAAAAAAGACAAAGGCUAUACCUCACUGCAAUGAGGUUGUGGGGGCACAUACAUGUAAUCCCAGCAUUUGGGAGGCUGAGGCAGGAGACUCACUGCAAGUUCAAGUCCACCUCAAGUUCAAUGCCAGCUUAGGUUACACAGUAAGUUCAAGGCCAGUAUGGGCUAUAUAGAGAGACUCUCACAAUGAUAUGAUCAAAAUAUAUCCAUGUACAAAAAUACCACACUGAAAUCCAGUAUGUUUGUGCUUGCUUUGUCAGCACAUUUACUGUACUAAAAUUGGAACAAUAUAGAGAUUAAGGGUCAAGUAUAUAGCUCAGCUGCAUGGUGCCUGCCUUGUAAGCACAAGUUUAGAAGUUUGUUUCCAGUACAAAAAAAAAAAAAUUACCAGAGAUUAACAUGUCCUCUAUACAAAGAUGACAUACAGAUUCACAGAGUAUUUCAUAUUUGUGUUCUCCAAUGGAAAGGGGAUCAAGAGAUGAAGGAGGGGAGAGGGGAAGAGAAUGAAAAAAUGAAGAUGUGCUAUGUACAUGCACCAGCUCCCCACAAGGAAUGCAAACAUGCCCUUCAAAUAUGUACUGAUAAAAAACAGAAAGCUUUAAAAAUCCAGUAUUUUGUAAAAGUAAUAGGCACUAAUAAAGAUAUAUUUUUUAAAAGUUA